AUGGUCAUGUGCGACUUCAACCUGAACUUCACCUUCAUUUCUUGUGGCUGGGAGGGAUCUGCUACUGAUGUUAAAGUUCUCCGGUCAGCACUUAACAGUGGGUUUCAUGUAUCUCCGGGCAAGUUUUAUCUGGUUGAUGGUGGUUAUGCCAACACACCUUACUUCUUGGAACCGUAUCGUGGUGUUCGGUACCAUCUGAAGGAGUUUGCAUGCGGUCGUCAUCGACCCCAAAAUCAUAGGGAGCUAUUUAAUCUCCGGCAUGCCGUGUUACAAAAUCACGUCGAACGGGGAUUAGGAAUCUUCAAGAAGCGGUUCCCAAUCCUAAAAGUGGGCACACAUCAUCGAAUAGAGAACCAAGUCAAGCUACCAGCAGCGGCGGCAAUCUUACAUAACAUCAUCCGAUCUGAAAAAGGAGAUGAGCGUUGGUUAGAUAACCAACCAAACAAUAUACCUGUCAUGAAUUUUGUUGAUCUUCCUGACGGUGAUAUUCCUCAAAAUCAUCAAAUCAACCAUGAAGGCGACAACCUUAGAGAUGCCAUUGCUCAUCAAAUGUGGGCUAAUUAUCAACAUGCAUAA
rnacentral:rRNA from 1 species